rnacentral:rRNA from 1 species
GUCUUCUUGAUUAUAAUUUGAAGUCUGACCUGCCCUAUGAUUUUUAAAUGGCCGCAGUAAUUUGACUGUGCUAAGGUAGCAUAAUAAUUAGUUUCUUAAUUAGAAGCUUGUAUGAACGGUUUGAUGAGAAAACUUCUUUCUUAGAAUUAAUUUUUUUGAAUUUUAUCUUUAAGUAAAAAAGCUUAAAUUUUUUUAGGGGACGAGAAGACCCUUUAGAAUUUCAUAUAAUUAUAUAUUUAUUUGUUUUUAGAAUUUACUAAUAAAUUUAUUUUUAUAUUUAGUUGGGGUGACUGAAAAAUUUAAUAAACUUUUUUUAUAGAUUUACAAUAUAAGAGGUUUUUUGAUCCGUUUUGUCGAUUAAAAGAAAAAAUUACCUAAGGGAUAACAGCGUUAUAAUUUUUUAGAGUUCUUAUCGAAAAAAUUGAUUGCGACCUCGAUGUUGGAUUAGAAUUUCUUUUAGGUGCAGAAGCUUAAAAAGAAGGUCUGUUCGACCUUUAAAUUUCU